CCAUUGCCUCUCCCCCCACUCACAUGUGCAUGUUCUCGCUCUCUCACUAAAUAAAUGAAUUUUUAAAAAAUAGGACAUUUCUUGAUGACUUUAAAAUGGUUUAGCUGAGUUAUGUCGGGCCUGAGUAGAUCAUCUUUUUUCUUUUCUUUUCCUUUUAUUUAUUUGAAAGGGAGAGAGAGCCAGAGAGAUCCAGAGCAGGAAGGGAGGGCAGAGGGAGAAACAAACUCCUGCUAAGCAGGGAGCCUGAUGCAGGACUCGAUCCCACCACCCUGGGGUCGUGAGGCCCUCAUCUGGUUCUCAUCUGCACGUGAGGCACACUCUGCCCUGAUGCUUUCUCUGCAGCAUCCCGGCGAGGAGAGUCAUGACUCGAUUUCCCCCAGCCGCAGAGUAUUCUCCUUCUGGGUGUGGCCCACCUGGAGGAGGCCUCCACCUGCCUGGUGCUGAGGGGAACUUCCAGCCUGUUACGGAGCACUGUGCUGGACUCCAUGGCAACCAACGGGUGGAGAUGGAGCCCGAGGGUUAAACACUGACCUACAGAAGCUGGUGAGCUGGGCACCAAGAGCCAGCCGUGGGCACCAGCCCCACCUCGACCAAGUCCUGGCGCGGGUGCUCAUGAUUGUGUGGCCGGAUGUCAGGGACCCUGGACCCUGAGCUCAUGAUCUGUUCCUGGUGUUGCUAUUAUGUCUGGAUCGAACCAGAGGAAGGAGGAAAAGAAAAGGAAAGGCACGCUGCUUUUCUUUCAAGAGCAAGACUUGGACGUUGUUUCAAUCCUAUUGGCCAAACCUUAGUGGCCCGGGCGGCCCAUGGCAGAGAAGCACGGAAAACGUGUGUUGCCGGCGGCGCUGGGCCUUGCUCCCGGUCCCUAACUACUAAGGGAAGUCGGGAAAAAUGGCAAUUGGGGCACAGCCAGCUCUACCCAGAAUACCUGCCUCUCGGGGUAGUUGUAGGGAUUAAAUACCAUCAUUUAGCACAGAUGGAGCUCCCGGGGAGCAACAGACCCAGAGAUCACUGUUAUUAUUAUCAAUCUCUGAGUCUUUCAUUUUCUCUUUAGCAAAGCGAAUAUUGAUCGAUUGUCCUAUUCUGUAAACAGCAGUGAGAACUGAGCUGUGUCAAGAGUGUCCUGACUCUCUGGUGGGUAGUGAGUGUGGAAUAGCGUGGUAGUGACAGUAAGGGAAUG
rnacentral:lncRNA from 12 species